rnacentral:lncRNA from 1 species
CGCAACAUCAAAUUAGGUAAUAUUAUGCCUUUUUUUGCAAAUCAGCAGAAUACAGGACUGUGUAAUGAAAAAGAGAAUUGUCUAUUUUGAUUGCAUGGUGGCUUUAACACUACCAAAAAAACAAACAAACAAUAACCCAUUAACCUAUAGUGGUCAUUAUGUGAACUGUUUAUGACUAAUAAUAACACAUUGCAAUUUGGAUGUUUUUAAGUAAUGUUGGUUUUUUUCUACAGACUUUUUUGUGUGUGGUGAUUAUAAAGGGAACAUGUGGUUCAAUCAGCCUCCUAAUCUGUCCACCUGGACUCAAAGAAGACCGGCACACACAGACAAAGUGAGUGUACUGCAGCUUACAGAGAGCCUCAUCAUCUCAGCGUCUCAUGACAGAACCGUCAAACUGUGGGACAGACGAACUAAGAAACAGGUAUUUUUAUUCUUGCUUUUAUGCACUGUGUGUAUACCAGUGUUUAUUUAAUUUCCUUUCUGUUUCUUACUCAUUUUCUGUAUUUCACAGGUGGGCAUGUUUGUGUGUGGAGGCCCUGUCAAGGUUCUGGAGGUGAACCCAUGUAACCCCAAGGAAUUUGUUUGCGGUGAUACGCAGGGUCAACUGUACUUCCUGACUUGGAAAAGUUGAUUUCCUGAACAUCAGUCAAAGGACACAGUCACUUGUUGCAUGUCAUUAUUUGUACAUUCGUAAUCUUGAAUCUUUUUUCCAUCGGUUGUAAUGUUGCAUUCUGUACAUUUUCAUUUUAUUUUACAUGCAUGAAGCAUUUUGCACUAAUGAUAAUAUUGCCUUAAACUAAGCCAUAUGAAGAAUAUUUGUGUUGAUUUUAUUAUAUACAUUUUACUGCCACUUGAUUACAUUAAGUCAAUUGAUUUUUUUUGAAGGGUUGUACAUGUAAAAAGCUAUUCUGGGUGAAUAAACAGUCUGCAGGUUCACAUGGGGAACAGCAGAUGUCCACUGAAUGUGCUGUGAUGGUGUUCUCCAUUGUCGAAAAUCCAUUGUCCAGGAUAGAGAUUUA